rnacentral:rRNA from 1 species
GCAAGCGUUAAUCGGAAUUACUGGGCGUAAAGGGUGCGUAGGCGGUUUGUUAAGUCUGUCGUGAAAUCCCCGGGCUCAACCUGGGAAUGGCGAUGGAUACUGGCAAGCUAGAGUGUGUCAGAGGAUGGUGGAAUUUCCGGUGUAGCGGUGAAAUGCGUAGAGAUCGGAAGGAACAUCAGUGGCGAAGGCGGCCAUCUGGGACAACACUGACGCUGAAGCACGAAAGCGUGGGGAGCAAACAGGAUUAGAUACCCUGGUAGUCCACGCCCUAAACGAUGCGAACUGGAUGUUGGUCUCAACUCGGAGAUCAGUGUCGAAGCUAACGCGUUAAGUUCGCCGCCUGGGGAGUACGGUCGCAAGACUGAAACUCAAAGGAAUUGACGGGGGCCCGCACAAGCGGUGGAGUAUGUGGUUUAAUUCGAUGCAACGCGAAGAACCUUACCUGGCCUUGACAUGUCUGGAAUCCUGCAGAGAUGCGGGAGUGCCUUCGGGAAUCAGAACACAGGUGCUGCAUGGCUGUCGUCAGCUCGUGUCGUGAGAUGUUGGGUUAAGUCCCGCAACGAGCGCAACCCUUGUCCUUAGUUGCCAGCACGUAAUGGUGGGAACUCUAAGGAGACUGCCGGUGACAAACCGGAGGAAGGUGGGGAUGACGUCAAGUCCUCAUGGCCCUUACGGCCAGGGCUACACACGUACUACAAUGGUCGGUACAGAGGGUUGCAAUACCGCGAGGUGGAGCCAAUCCCAGAAAGCCGAUCCCAGUCCGGAUCGGAGUCUGCAACUCGACUCCGUGAAGUCGGAAUCGCUAGUAAUCGCGGAUCAGCUAUGCCGCGGUGAAUACGUUCCCGGGCCUUGUACACACCGCCCGUCACACCAUGGGAGUGAGUUGCUCCAGAAGCCGUUAGUCUAACCGCAAGGGGGACGACGACCACGGAGUGGUUCAUGACUGGGGUGAAGUCGUAACAAGGUA